UGUGUAGGUGGUCAUACUAGUCGUUUGUUAAAACCCCGGGCCUAACCCGGGAAGUGCGGGCGAAACGGUAUGACUCGAGGGUGUGAGAGGUGCAUAGAACUCUAGGUGUAGGGGUGAAAUCCGUUGAUAUCUAGGGGAAUACCGAAAGCGAAGGCAGUGCACUGGCGCAUUCCUGACACUCAAACACAAAAGCGUGGGUAGCGAACG
rnacentral:rRNA from 1 species